UGAGUGGUGAUCGGACGGCAUGGGUUUGCAGGCUCCUUGCUCGUGCAACGAACUGCACGCCCUCCGUCCUCUUCAUAGUUAUCCCCAAGCAUGCUCUCGUGUCUUGCGGGUGCGAUCGGUAUCCUGUAUUGCUUACCAUUGCGACGGAAUUCGGUGAUUUUGAUGCCUACAUCCGCCCGGUGCCCGUCGGGGUGUUGGGUGGACGACAGGCCGGCCUCGUGCUCCMGGCACGUCUCGUAUCGAUGCGUGGCUGCCGCGGCGCACGGGGUUGUGCCCGUUCUCUCGGAUCCGGAUCGUUAUACGUGCGGGCGAGGGGCUACGGCCUCCGUCCGUCCGCGUUACGCAUUUGUCCCUCGACACGAACGACCGCCGCACUCGUCUUGGCUGGCUCCCCGAGUCACCGUGCGCGUGUCGGCGUCGUGAAGGAAUGC
rnacentral:misc_RNA from 1 species